AAUAAGCUCAUGAAUGUAGUUUGAUAGCAAAACUCUUUCAAAAUACUUUCAUAGGUGGGGAAAGGGACCCAAGGAGCAUUGAAUGCCACCCUAAGGGAGCACUCCUGGAGUUGGUCUUGCUCCUUCCACUCCUCAUGACUGAGAGGCAGGUUUGCAGGAGCGUGUCUAUUGCGGAGUAGACGGGAAGGGGACUUGGCAAACGGGCAUGUGGAGGUGACCGCUGACGUUAGCAUCUUGGACCUCUGCCGACCUCGCACUUUUCAGAGAUUUGUAUUUACUGCCUCUCCAUUCUUUCAUAGGCACAUCUCUCUUCACUUGUCUUAACACACCAGGUCAGGAAUUAAGUCUUGUUGAUUCUUCUCGCAUAAUAAAAGGCAAAGUAAAUCAGCUCAACUUGGAAUAGAAUCACUCUCCAGGUCUGUGGGACAAAGUCUGUCUCCUCAAAAAAAAUCAAUGAAGGGUGAAUAUCGGUUCCCAAGGGAGUGACCCUAUAUUCUUCCUCAGCCCGCACAAGUAGGAAAUCCAGGGCUCCCUAAAGGCCAGCCUGAUGCUCCCCAAAGGAGAGGGGAUUCCCAGAUGUUCAGCCUCCCUCUGGGGCCCCUCAUCCCAUGAAGAGUCUCUCCAUAUGACCCAUCUGGAAGGACCUUGGCUAGAUUUUGUUAAAGGAAUUGGCAGGUGUCCUUACACCUUCAGACAUUGAAAACAGGAGUCAGCUCAUAAUGGACAAGAUGAGCAAUCUGUAGAAAGAAUUUACCCUAAAAGAUGGUUUAUAUUCACAUGGUUGAGGUCUAGCCAAAGUGACCAAAUAAGGCCUGGUCUCAGAAAAAAACAACUGAAAUUUAGAGAGACCUAAAUGUACUAAAACUGGCUGAAGACAGAACAUGUAACUGAAAGGAAACAGCCAGCCCAGAGUUUAGGAAAGAGUUAUUCAAUUCAAAGAGCAAGAUCGGGGUUCACCGGAAAAACAACCUAUUAUAUUUUUAUUUUUGAUUUUAUUUAAAAUAAUGACAUUUAUUUUAAGGAACUGACUCGUGAUUAUGGGGCUGGCAAGUCUGAAAUUUUGCCUGGUAAAAAUUUCAGGCAGGCUGCAGGCUGGAAACUCAAGCAGAAGUGAUGCUGCAGUCCUGACACAGAAUUUCUUCUCUGGGAAACCUCAGUUUUUGCUCUUAAGGAUUGGAGCAAAAUGUUGACUGGAUGAGACCUGCCCUCAUCAAGGUUCUCUGUUUUACUUGAAGUCAACUGACUGUAGAUGUUAACACUUCAAGGCAACACUAGUUUCCUCACAUUUUUCAGUAAGGUGACAGCUCAGUAUUUUAUGGUUGGUGUUGCUGUUCCACUGUGAAUAGGGGAAUACACUCACCAUAACUAAUAUACAUUGAAGGACUACUAUGUGCAGGUAGGUUCUAAAUGCUUUACUAUUUUAACUAAUUUAAUCCUCAUAACAGCAGUAUAAGAUAAGAACUAUUAUUUAUAUUCCCAUUUCAUGGAUUAGGAAACUGAGGCCAGAGGGGGUAGGUUCAGAUAGAAUAUGGAUGAACAGGGCUUUAACCCUCUGCCUUCUGGCUCCACAGGCCAUGAUUUAACUUAUGUUAUUGGGAUAUUUUUAUUAACAAUGUCUUCUAACUGGUUAUUCUUAGCAUAUAAAAUGCUACAGACUUGACUUGUCUUUGUCUUAUAUCAAGUGAUUUCUCUGGAUCCUAUUAUCAAUUUUCAUCAUUUUAGAAUUGAUUCUCAUGGAUUUUCUAUGUAUACAAUCAUAUCAUCUGCAAACAAAGAUAAAUUUGCCUCUUCUUUCCAAAAGUUGUGACCCCAUUUAAAAAAAUUUCCAGUCUUAUUGUUUUGGAUUUUUCAGAGUAAUAUUAAAUAACAGUGAUGAGAGUAGAUUUCUCUGUUUUAUUUUAUUUUGUCAUAAAUUGCUGACUUCAUAUAUCUACGUAGAUGUUUUUAUAUAUGAAGAAUAUUAAGACUAUUAAGAAUGUUUAUAGAAAAUGGAAUUGAACUACCAUGUUCUCUUUGGUUACUAUUAAAAACGAUCAAAUGCUUUUCUUCUUUGGUUUAUUUUUGACCUGUUAUAUAAAUAAGUUUCCUAAUACCUAGCCUUGUGUUAAUUCCUAGAAUUAAACCCUAAUUGCUUGUGGUAUGUGAUUAUUAUGUUAAUAUACUGUUGAAUUUUAUGUGUUAAUAUUAAAUAUUUUAGGAUUUUUACAUGUAUAUUCAUAAGUGAGAUUGCAUUGUAGGGUCUUUUUUAGAGGGAUACUAUUUUAGACAGGUUUCGAUAUUAGUAUAUUCUGACUUCAUAAACAAAUUGGGUAGUUUUCCAUCUUUUUCUAUGUUCUAGGACAGUUUCUAUUUUCUAUUCAUUUUGACAGAUAAACACUGUAUAAUAGAGAUGACAAGGAAGAGAAUGCAAAUCGGCACAGAUUAUUUUGCCUCUGCCACUUUUGUAGCUGGAGGACAGCCUUGAUUGUGAAGAAGCAAUUUGGAGCAGUAGGAGGGUCAGACAGGCCAUUAUUCUGGUGUUGGUGCAGGCUGGCUGGCAGGCUGAGAAAAGCUUCCAGUGCUCUAGCCUGUUCCUCACUGGCUCCUGUUGGAGAAAGUGAUAUAGGUCAACAUUGACAGUCAUAAGUCACAUUGACAGUAUGUACUCUUGAUAUGAUGUGAUGAAAAUGACACUCUACCUCUGUGAUCUUCCUCCCCAAAACCCAUAAUUCUGGUCUAAUCAUGAGAAAACCAUUAAAUUCCAAUAGAGAGGCAUCCUACAGUAUACCUGACUAGUACUCCUCAAAACUGUCAAGGUCGUUGAAAACAGAGCAUCUGAGAAACUGUCACAGCCCAGAGGAGCCUAAGAAGACAUGGCAACUAUAUGUAACCUGGUAUCCUGGAUGGGAUCUUGGAACAGAAAGUGGAUAUUAGGUAAAAACUAAGGAACUCUGAACAAACUAUGGACUUUAGUUAAUAAAAAUGUAUCAGUAUUGGUCCAUGAAUUGAAACGAAUGUACCAUAACAAUGUUAAGAUGUUAAUAAUAGAGAAAGCUGUGGGGAGGCAUAUGGGAACUUGCUGGGCUAUCUGCUCAAUUUUUAUGUACAUUUAAAACUGUUCUAAGAAAUAAAGUCUAGUAAUAAUAAUGACUACAGGAAUCAAAUGAAGACUAAGAUGGAACAAAAGCACAUCCAAUCCCUUUUAGGAUUCAUGGGCAUUUUCUUAGUUCUUUGACUUUCAGACUUCCAUCCUUUUGGGGCACCCAGGGCUCCUUAGAGCUUACUUAUCCUAUCCAC